rnacentral:rRNA from 1 species
AUUGAACGCUGGCGGCAUGCCUUACACAUGCAAGUCGAACGGCAGCACGGGAGCUUGCUCCUGGUGGCGAGUGGCGAACGGGUGAGUAAUACAUCGGAACGUACCCUGAAGUGGGGGGAUAACGUAGCGAAAGUUACGCUAAUACCGCAUAUUCUGUGAGCAGGAAAGAGGGGGAUCGCAAGACCUCUUGCUUUAGGAGCGGCCGAUGUCGGAUUAGGUAGUUGGUGGGGUAAAGGCUCACCAAGCCAACGAUCUGUAGCUGGUCUGAGAGGACGACCAGCCACACUGGAACUGAGACACGGUCCAGACUCCUACGGGAGGCAGCAGUGGGGAAUUUUGGACAAUGGGCGCAAGCCUGAUCCAGCCAUUCCGCGUGCAGGAUGAAGGCC